rnacentral:rRNA from 1 species
AUUGAACGCUGGCGGCAUGCCUUACACAUGCAAGUCGAACGGCAGCACGGGAGCAAUCCUGGUGGCGAGUGGCGAACGGGUGAGUAAUGUAUCGGAACGUGCCCAGUCGUGGGGGAUAACGCAGCGAAAGCUGUGCUAAUACCGCAUACGAUCUAUGGAUGAAAGCGGGGGAUCGCAAGACAUCGCGCGAUUGGAGCCGACGAUAUCAGAGUAGCUAGUUGGUGGGGUAAAAUCUUACAAAGGCGACGAUCGGUAGCUGGUCUGAGAGGACGACCAGCCACACUGGAACUGAGACACGGUCCAGACUCCUACGGGAGGCAGCAGUGGGGAAUUUUGGACAAUGGGCGCAAGCCUGAUCCAGCAAUGCCGCGUGCAGGAUGAAGGCCUUCGGGUUGUAAACUGCUUUUGUACGGAGCGAAAAGGCUCUCUCUAAUACAGGGGGCUCAUGACGGUACCGUAAGAAUAAGCACCGGCUAACUACGUGCCAGCCGCCGCCGUAA